AGGACGAACGCUGGCGGCGUGCCUCAUACAUGCAAGUGGAGCGACGAACCAGGAUUUAUCCUGGGGCAAAGCCGCGAACGGGUGAGUAACACGUGGGUUACCUGCCCCGAUGAUUGGGACAACCCGAGGAAACUCGGGCUAAUACCAAAUGUGUUCUUGGUCGUGAUGACCAAGAAGAAAGGAAGCCUCGGCCUCCGCAUCGGGAUGGGCCCGCGGCCCAUUAGCUUGUUGGUGAGGUAACGGCUCACCAAGGCAACGAUGGGUAGCUGGUCUGAGAGGACGAUCAGCCACACUGGGACUGAGACACGGCCCAGACUCCUACGGGAGGCAGCAGUAGGGAAUCUUGGACAAUGGGGGAAACCCUGAUCCAGCCAUGCCGCGUGAGUGAUGAAGGCCUUCGGGUUGUAAAACUCUUUCAGUGGGGAAGAUAAUGACGGUACCACAGAAGAAGCCCGGCUAACUUCGUGCCAGCAGCCGC
rnacentral:rRNA from 1 species